AGAGUUUGAUCCUGGCUCAGGAUGAACGCUAGCUACAGGCUUAACACAUGCAAGUCGAGGGGAAACGAUAUUGGAAGCUUGCUUCCGAUAGGCGUCGACCGGCGCACGGGUGAGUAACGCGUAUCCAACCUGCCCACCACUUGGGGAUAACCUUGCGAAAGUAAGACUAAUACCCAAUGAUAUCUCUAGAAGACAUCUGAAAGAGAUUAAAGAUUUAUCGGUGUUGGAUGGGGAUGCGUCUGAUUAGCUUGUUGGCGGGGUAACGGCCCACCAAGGCAACGAUCAGUAGGGGUUCUGAGAGGAAGGUCCCCCACAUUGGAACUGAGACACGGUCCAAACUCCUACGGGAGGCAGCAGUGAGGAAUAUUGGUCAAUGGACGAGAGUCUGAACCAGCCAAGUAGCGUGCAGGAAGACGGCCCUAUGGGUUGUAAACUGCUUUUAUAAGGGAAUAAAGUGAGAGUCGUGACUCUUUUUGCAUGUACCUUAUGAAUAAGGACCGGCUAAUUCCGUGCCAGCAGCCGCGGUAAUACGGAAGGUCCGGGCGUUAUCCGGAUUUAUUGGGUUUAAAGGGAGCGUAGGCCGGAGAUUAAGCGUGUUGUGAAAUGUAGACGCUCAACGUCUGCACUGCAGCGCGAACUGGUCUCCUUAGUACGCACAAAGUGGGCGGAAUUCGUGGUGUAGCGGUGAAAUGCUUAGAUAUCACGAAGAACUCCGAUUGCGAAGGCAGCUCACUGGAGCGCAACUGACGCUGAAGCUCGAAAGUGCGGGUAUCGAACAGGAUUAGAUACCCUGGUAGUCCGCACGGUAAACGAUGGAUGCCCGCUGUUGGUCUGAAUAGGUCAGCGGCCAAGCGAAAGCAUUAAGCAUCCCACCUGGGGAGUACGCCGGCAACGGUGAAACUCAAAGGAAUUGACGGGGGCCCGCACAAGCGGAGGAACAUGUGGUUUAAUUCGAUGAUACGCGAGGAACCUUACCCGGGCUUGAAUUGCAGAGGAAGGAUUUGGAGACAAUGACGCCCUUCGGGGCCUCUGUGAAGGUGCUGCAUGGUUGUCGUCAGCUCGUGCCGUGAGGUGUCGGCUUAAGUGCCAUAACGAGCGCAACCCCUCUCCUUAGUUGCCAUCAGGUUAAGCUGGGCACUCUGGGGACACUGCCACCGUAAGGUGUGAGGAAGGUGGGGAUGACGUCAAAUCAGCACGGCCGGGCUACACAC
rnacentral:rRNA from 1 species